rnacentral:rRNA from 1 species
GGCUUAGAGUUUGAUCAUGGCUCAGGACGAACGCUGGCGGCGUGCCUAAUACAUGCAAGUCGAGCGAGCGGAACUAACAGAUUUACUUCGGUAAUGAUGUUAGGAAAGCGAGCGGCGGAUGGGUGAGUAACACGUGGGGAACCUGCCCCAUAGUCUGGGAUACCACUUGGAAACAGGUGCUAAUACCGGAUAAGAAAGCAGAUCGCAUGAUCAGCUUUUAAAAGGCGGCGUAAGCUGUCGCUAUGGGAUGGCCCCGCGGUGCAUUAGCUAGUUGGUAAGGUAAAGGCUUACCAAGGCGAUGAUGCAUAGCCGAGUUGAGAGACUGAUCGGCCACAUUGGGACUGAGACACGGCCCAAACUCCUACGGGAGGCAGCAGUAGGGAAUCUUCCACAAUGGACGCAAGUCUGAUGGAGCAACGCCGCGUGAGUGAAGAAGGUUUUCGGAUCGUAAAGCUCUGUUGUUGGUGAAGAAGGAUAGAGGUAGUAACUGGCCUUUAUUUGACGGUAAUCAACCAGAAAGUCACGGCUAACUACGUGCCAGCAGCCGCGGUAAUACGUAGGUGGCAAGCGUUGUCCGGAUUUAUUGGGCGUAAAGCGAGCGCAGGCGGAAGAAUAAGUCUGAUGUGAAAGCCCUCGGCUUAACCGAGGAACUGCAUCGGAAACUGUUUUUUCUUGAGUGCAGUAGAGGAGAGUGGAACUUCAUGUGUAGCGGUGGAAUGCGUAGAUAUAUGGGAAGAACACCAGUGGCGAAGGCGGCUCUCUGGUCUGCAACUGACGCUGAGGCUCGAAAGCAUGGGUAGCGAACAGGAUUAGAUACCCUGGGUAGUCCAUGCCGUAAACGAUGAGUGCUAAGUGUNGGAGGNUUCCG